rfam:Gossypium arboreum cultivar AKA8401 contig_112349_1, whole genome shotgun sequence.
AAGGAUUGUAUGACAAAUCAGAUUUUUCUUCUUGAUUUUCAGCCUUUUGCUCAUGAAAAAAUUUAAAUCCAACUAAAAAUACUAAAAAUCGGGAGGAAAAAGUUGAUUUGUCAUUCUCCUAUU